rnacentral:rRNA from 1 species
AUGAGGAGAAGUGGAAAACUAGGGAAGUUUUCGAUCCUUCGAAGAAGAAAAGUGUGGUGGGUGGAGGACGAAGAAGAUGUCCCCGGUGAUGAGAGAAGGAGCCCAACCCCUUACUCGGCGACUAAAUCACAUAGGCCCGAUGGAACCAAAAAAGUCAAGGGAACCAAGGACGGAGACAAUGAUCUCAAGGAAGAAUUUGGUGCCAUCGUCAUGGCGAGGAAAGAGCAUGCGGAAGAGAAAAAAAUGUUGAAGCUCAAAGAAAUUGAGGAGAGGAGUGAAGUCGAGCGACGGAGGGCAGCGGCCGAGGCGAGAAAGGUUGAGCUAGAGGAGAGAAAGGCAGCGACAGAGGAGAUGAAGAUGGUCGAGGACAAGUCACUCAAGUUUAUGUUCAUGGACACAUCUACUCUUAAUGCCAAGGCAAAGGCGUAUGUCGAACUUUGUCGCGAUGAAAUGCUGAUGAAGAAGCAAAUACUCAUGAGAAACAUGAUGGGAUGA